AUCACUCAAUCCGGACAUAUAUAUCGACCUCAAGUGACUUUCGCGACGGAAGGCACAACACGACUAUCAUCGCCACCAUUCUCUCGGUGGAUUCAAAUUGGAAUCAGUAAAAAGCAUGUCUCCCUCUCAAGCAUCUGUUAAUGCUAAUCAGCCCGAGCAAACAGAGACCAUCACUUUCAUGAAUCGUGAUUACUACAAUGCUGCAGCAGAAGGCAAAGUCGAGGUCUUCAAAAAUAUCAUCGAUCAUGAGUCUCUUGGCCUCUUACUAACCCCAAAUAAAAAUACAAUCCUCCAUAUUUACAUCACAGCCCUCAAUUCUGGAUCCAAUUCAACAACCCCCAAUUCAGGAUCAGAAUCAACAACAACCCUUAAUGCAGGAACGGAAUCAACAACCCUUAUUGGACGAUCAGGAUCAACAACCAACUUUGUGAAAGAAAUUCUUAAAACGUGUCCCUCAUUAUUACGGCAAGCCAAUGCCAAAGGUGAAACUCCAUUGCACAUUGCGGCAAGGUACGGGCAUGAUGACAUAGUGGAAGUUCUAAUCAAAUAUUGUGCCCAAACUCUUCAUGAUCAAGACCUUGAAGGUGGGGUUGAACCCGUAAAAGAAAUGCUCAGGAUGAAGAACAAAGAAAGACACGGCUUUUCACGAGGCUGUACGAUAUAAUCACCUUGAGGUGGUAAAACUGUUGAUUAAUAAAGACCCAGAUUUUUCAUAUUCUGCUAAUGAUGCUGGUGAAACUCCACUUUACAUAGCUGCCGAGAGAGGGUUUGAAAGUGUGUUGCUCGAAAUUUUAGACAAAUGCAAAUCCCCAAUGCAUGGGGGUCCCCUUGGUAGGACGGCUUUGCAUGCUGCCGUACAAUGGGGUUAUGAAUAUAAAGGUAUAGCUAUGGUCAGCAGAAUUCUUGAAAACAUUGAAGGUAUAAGUAGAGAAGUGGACAGUGACGGUUGGACUCCGCUUCACUUGGCUGCAUACUUCAACCAUUCAGGCUCAAUAGUAGAGCUAUUGUUGGAUAAAGAUAGAGAAGUAGCAUAUAUGA